rnacentral:rRNA from 1 species
AUUGAACGCUGGCGGCAGGCCUAACACAUGCAAGUCGAACGAGUGGCGGACGGGUGAGUAAUGUCUGGGAAACUGCCUGAUGGAGGGGGAUAACUACUGGAAACGGUAGCUAAUACCGCAUACCAUCAGAUGUGCCCAGAUGGGAUUAGCUUGUUGGUGGGGUAACGGCUCACCAAGGCGACGAUCCCUAGCUGGUCUGAGAGGAUGACCAGCCACACUGGGACUGAGACGAGGUCCAGACUCCUACGGGAGGCAGAAGUGGGGAAUAUUGCACAAUGGGCGAAAGACUUAUGCAGACAUGCCGCGUGUAUGAAGAAGGGCUUCGGGUUUGAAAGUACUUUCAGGGGGGAGGCGUUACCCGCAGAAGAAGCACCGGCUAACUCCGUGCCAGCCGCCGCGGUAAUUC